rnacentral:rRNA from 1 species
AGGAAAAGAAAUCAACCGAGAUUCCCCCAGUAGCGGCGAGCGAACGGGGAGGAGCCCAGAGCCUGAAUCAGCAUGUGUGUUAGUGGAAGCGUCUGGAAAGGCGCGCGAUACAGGGUGACAGCCCCGUACACAAAAGCGCAUGUGCUGUGAGCUCGAUGAGUAGGGCGGGACACGUGGUAUCCUGUCUGAAUAUGGGGGGACCAUCCUCCAAGGCUAAAUACUCCUGACUGACCGAUAGUGAACCAGUACCGUGAGGGAAAGGCGAAAAGAACCCCGGCGAGGGGAGUGAAAAAGAACCUGAAACCGUGUACGUACAAGCAGUGGGAGCACAGGUUUACCUGUGUGACUGCGUACCUUUUGUAUAAUGGGUCAGCGACUUAUAUUCUGUAGCAAGGUUAACCG